GACGAACGCUGGCGGCGUGCCUAAUACAUGCAAGUUGAGCGAUGAAGAUUGGUGCUUGCACCAAUUUGAAGAGCAGCGAACGGGUGAGUAACGCGUGGGGAAUCUGCCUUUGAGCGGGGGACAACAUUUGGAAACGAAUGCUAAUACCGCAUAACAACUUUAAACAUAAGUUUUAAGUUUGAAAGAUGCAAUUGCAUCACUCAAAGAUGAUCCCGCGUUGUAUUAGCUAGUUGGUGAGGUAAAGGCUCACCAAGGCGAUGAUACAUAGCCGACCUGAGAGGGUGAUCGGCCACAUUGGGACUGAGACACGGCCCAAACUCCUACGGGAGGCAGCAGUAGGGAAUCUUCGGCAAUGGACGAAAGUCUGACCGAGCAACGCCGCGGGAGUGAAGAAGGUUUUCGGAUCGUAAAACUCUGUUGGUAGAGAAGAAAGUUGGUGAGAGUGGAAAGCUCAUCAAGUGACGGUAACUACACAGAAAGGGACGGCUAACUACGUG
rnacentral:rRNA from 1 species